GUACAUGUGCUGGGAUUGACAAAUAUGCAUUUUAUUUGGAUUUUAAAGGUGUUUUGAGCUCCAAACCCCAAGUGUCUGUGCGUUAAUUGAUACAGACAUCCAGGAUAUUUUGAAGAAAUUGUGUGUGAUAUAACAAACUGUUGUGUGAGGUUUUUAAUUUGACAUGGUCAAGACAUACUAUGAUAGUAUUGUUCAGUAUUACUUCUGUCAUGUUACUGUUUGAUAACAGUUAAGGUACAGUAGGUUCAGACAAGUUAUAUACAUGUAUACAGGACAAGACAGCUCAAACUGGCAGUUUGUUAUAGCAAAAAGUGAUGAAGUUUCAGCCUAGAAGUCUUCAUGAUGAUGAUGGUGAUCCUAGUUAUAGAUUCUUUGCAAUUAUCUGUAAGGAAGGGGUUUCUGCUGCAGAGAAGAAAAAAAUUCAUGCAGUAAGAAGUUGCCCACUCUGUUCAAAUGAAGCUGUCUGAAGUACCCAGUAGAACAAUGUAUUAUUUCUGGAACAACUUAAUUGAAGUGAAGCUUACUAUGUGAAGGAGUUAUUUCUGUAUUCAAAAGGAAACUUCAGCAUACAGAAUACCAAUUGAGAUAUUUGUAGCUUCAGUUAUGGGAGAACAUAAGAUUAAUUGAACUGGAAUCCCUUCAGACGUUGACAUAGCUAAAUUCCACAGUUUCAACUAUAAAUGGACAUUGAAAUAAUUAUACAUUGGUUUUAUUUUAUACAUGUAUCUGUUAAUAUUUUUGUUUUCAAAUAUUUCCCAAUAUUGUUAAUUUUGGAUAAUAUAAUGCCACAGAAAACUUGUCGGUCUUGGAGUAUGGCUGUUUAACAAAAAACACUGCAGA